UAGGGAAUCUUCCACAAUGGGCGAAAGCCUGAUGGAGCAACGCCGCGUGUGUGAUGAAGGGUUUCGGCUCGUAAAACACUGUUGUAAGAGAAGAAUGACAUUGAGAGUACUGUUCAAUGUGUGACGGUAUCUUACCAGAAAGGAACGGCUAAAUACGUGCCAG
rnacentral:rRNA from 1 species